GAGGGAUUAGUGUAAUGGUAGCACGAGGGUUUCUGAUACCCUUAGUAAGAGUUCAAAUCUCUUAUCCCUUA
rnacentral:tRNA from 1 species